ACUCCUACGGGAGGCAUCAGUGGGGAAUCUUGGACAAUGGGCGCAAGCCUGAUCCAGCCAUGCCGCGUGAGUGAUGAAGGCCCUAGGGUCGUAAAGCUCUUUCGCCAGGGAUGAUAAUGACAGUACCUGGUAAAGAAACCCCGGCUAACUCCGUGCCAGCAGCCGCGGUAAUACGGAGGGGGUUAGCGUUGUUCGGAAUUACUGGGGCGUAAAGCGUACGUAGGCGGAUUAGUUAGUCAGAGGUGAAAUCCCAGGGCUCAACCCUGGAACUGCCUUUGAUACUGCUAGUCUUGAGUUCGAGAGAGGUGAGUGGAAUUCCGAGUGUAGAGGUGAAAUUCGUAGAUAUUCGGAGGAACACCAGUGGCGAAGGCGGCUCACUGGCUCGAUACUGACGCUGAGGUACGAAAGUGUGGGGAGCAAACAGGAUUAGAUACCCUGGUAGGAUAGCG
rnacentral:rRNA from 1 species